GACGAACGCUGGCGGCAUGCCUAACACAUGCAAGUCGAACGGAGUUACUGAAGGAAAUCUUUCGGGAUGGAAAACAGGAAGCUUAGUGGCGGACGGGUGAGUAACGCGUGGGUAACGUGCCUUAUAGUGGGGAAUAACAGUGAGAAAUCACUGCUAAUACCGCAUAGACUCUACUAAUCGCAUGAUUAAAAGAGGAAAGACGGCCUCUCGAAGAAGCUGUUGCUAGAAGAGCGACCCGCGUCUGAUUAGCUAGUUGGUGAGGUAAAGGCUCACCAAGGCGACGAUCAGUAGCCGGCCUGAGAGGGUGAACGGCCACAUUGGGACUGAGACACGGCCCAA
rnacentral:rRNA from 1 species